GCACUGGUGGCUCAGUGACAGGGUUCUUGCCUUCUACGUGGGAGGCCCAGGUUCGAUUCCCGGCCUCUGCA
rnacentral:tRNA from 1 species